CCUGUAACAGGAGAGAAUGUGGAACAGACACUUCCCACACAUGAUGGAGGCAGACACAGUGGUUCACCAACAUCUGGAUAGAGACCACGGCUGUUCCAUCACGGCCUGGUGUCCCAGCAGCAGAUUUCCUGCUGGA